GUGAAAUUGUUGAAAGGGAAACGUUUCAAGUCAGUCGCGUCGGCUGGUAAUCAACCUUUGCAACCUUGCUAGGCUUACUUUCCAGUUGACGGGUCAGCAUCAAUUUUGACCGUUAGAUAAAGGCGUGAGGAAGGUGGCAUCUUCGGAUGUGUUAUAGCCUCUCGUCACAUGUGAUGGUUGGGAUUGAGGAACUCAGCAUGCCUUUACUGGUCGGGGCUUUGGCCCACGUAACAUGCUCAGGAUGCUGGCAUAAUGGCUUGAACCGACCCGUCUUGAAACACGGACCAAGGAGUC
rnacentral:rRNA from 1 species